CCUGGCUCAGGACGAACGCUGGCGGCGUGCUUAACACAUGCAAGUCGAACGAUGAUGCCCAGCUUGCUGGGCGGAUUAGUGGCGAACGGGUGAGUAAUACGUGAGUAACCUGCCCUUGACUCUGGGAUAAGCCUGGGAAACUGGGUCUAAUACUGGAUACUACCUCUUACCGCAUGGUGGGUGGUGGAAAGGGUUUUACUGGUUUUGGAUGGGCUCACGGCCUAUCAGCUUGUUGGUGGGGUAAUGGCUCACCAAGGCGACGACGGGUAGCCGGCCUGAGAGGGUGACCGGCCACACUGGGACUGAGACACGGCCCAGACUCCUACGGGAGGCAGCAGUGGGGAAUAUUGCACAAUGGGCGGAAGCCUGAUGCAGCGACGCCGCGUGAGGGAUGACGGCCUUCGGGUUGUAAACCUCUUUCAGUAGGGAAGAAGCGAGAGUGACGGUACCUGCAGAAGAAGCGCCGGCUAACUACGUGCCAGCAGCCGCGGUAAUACGUAGGGCGCAAGCGUUGUCCGGAAUUAUUGGGCGUAAAGAGCUCGUAGGCGGUUUGUCGCGUCUGCUGUGAAAGCCCGGGGCUCAACCCCGGGUCUGCAGUGGGUACGGGCAGACUAGAGUGCAGUAGGGGAGACUGGAAUUCCUGGUGUAGCGGUGAAAUGCGCAGAUAUCAGGAGGAACACCGAUGGCGAAGGCAGGUCUCUGGGCUGUUACUGACGCUGAGGAGCGAAAGCAUGGGGAGCGAACAGGAUUAGAUACCCUGGUAGUCCAUGCCGUAAACGUUGGGCACUAGGUGUGGGGGACAUUCCACGUUUUCCGCGCCGUAGCUAACGCAUUAAGUGCCCCGCCUGGGGAGUACGGCCGCAAGGCUAAAACUCAAAGGAAUUGACGGGGGCCCGCACAAGCGGCGGAGCAUGCGGAUUAAUUCGAUGCAACGCGAAGAACCUUACCAAGGCUUGACAUUCACCGGACCGCCCCAGAGAUGGGGUUUCCCUUCGGGGCUGGUGGACAGGUGGUGCAUGGUUGUCGUCAGCUCGUGUCGUGAGAUGUUGGGUUAAGUCCCGCAACGAGCGCAACCCUCGUUCUAUGUUGCCAGCACGUGAUGGUGGGGACUCAUAGGAGACUGCCGGGGUCAACUCGGAGGAAGGUGGGGAUGACGUCAAAUCAUCAUGCCCCUUAUGUCUUGGGCUUCACGCAUGCUACAAUGGCCGGUACAAAGGGUUGCGAUACUGUGAGGUGGAGCUAAUCCCAAAAAGCCGGUCUCAGUUCGGAUUGAGGUCUGCAACUCGACCUCAUGAAGUCGGAGUCGCUAGUAAUCGCAGAUCAGCAACGCUGCGGUGAAUACGUUCCCGGGCCUUGUACACACCGCCCGUCAAGUCACGAAAGUUGGUAACACCCGAAGCCGGUGGCCUAACCCCUUGUGGGAGGGAGCCGUCGAAGGUGGGACUGGCGAUUGGGACUAAGUCGUAACAAGGUAGCCGUACCGGAAGGUGCGGCUGG
rnacentral:rRNA from 1 species